AGCUUUGCACAGUUGGCAGUAUCACAGCCAAUGAAGUUUUUCCGAGGCGUGAUUAUUGCUAAUUGAAAACUUUUCCCAAUACCCUGCCAUGAUGACUUGAAAUAUAGUCAGCUUUGGCAAUUUUUGACAGUCUCUACAGAGA
rnacentral:snRNA from 1 species